rnacentral:lncRNA from 1 species
CCAAAUCUUUAAUUUCUGCUUCCAUUUUUAUUAAUAAUUGCAUCUCUAAAUCUCUUCUUUCUUCUUGGAUUUUAUGACAGGCAGUCAGGAGUCAAACGUUCUUUCAACACUUUGCCUGGACAUUUUCUCAGCAAAAUAUCCAGUUUCAUCCCUCACAAGCAAUACCUUCCACAAGACACGAGAGCAUAAACACAAUUCUGCCAUAUUCUUUGCCAAUUUAUAACAAGGAUGACCUUUCCUCCAUUGUCUAAAAACAUAUUCCUCAUUUCCAUUUGAAAGCUCAUCAAAACGACCUUACUAUUUAUAUUUCUAUAAGCAUUCUGUUCAGAAUAACUUAGGAAUUAUCUAACAAGAUUCUCCUCCUCCCCUACGGAGCCCAGACCAGGAUCAGCCUUAAUGGUCCGUUCAUGGCAACGUAAAUGUUUUCGAGCACCUCAGAACUCCUCCAGCCUCUACUCAUUACCCAGUUCCAAAGCCAUUGCCACCUAUUUUGAGGUAUUUGUUAGAGCAACCUCCCCACAGAUCAGCAUAAAUUUUCUAUGUAUGUCCACUUGGGCUGCUAGAACAAAAUACCAUAGACUAGAUGGCUUGUAAACAACAUUAAAAAGUCCAACCUCUUAGUUUUGAAGGGACAUAACAUUCAGGCACCAGCGCGCUCUAAGCACUUCACCACUGAACCGGGUAUAACCUUGUUGGGCAUUGAGAAAUGCUGGUAGCUUUCCCCUUCUAAGGAGAUUCCAUAACUCACUUAACUGGGAGCUGCAGGGAGAGGGUGCCCUGCGUUCUUGUCCACACCUCCCUGAGUAGGGUUCCCAUCGUGGUGAAUCAAGAGUGGAGGAAGCAAGUCAUGGCUCAAAUGC